rnacentral:rRNA from 1 species
AACGAACGCUGGCGGCAUGCCUAACACAUGCAAGUCGAACGAGACCUUCGGGUCUAGUGGCGCACGGGUGCGUAACGCGUGGGAACCUGCCCUUAGGUUCGGAAUAACUCCCCGAAAGGGGUGCUAAUACCGGAUAAUGUCUUCGGACCAAAGAUUUAUCGCCUUUGGAUGGGCCCGCGUUGGAUUAGCUAGUUGGUAGGGUAAAAGCCUACCAAGGCGACGAUCCAUAGCUGGUCUGAGAGGAUGAUCAGCCACACUGGGACUGAGACACGGCCCAGACUCCUACGGGAGGCAGCAGUGUGGAAUAUUGGACAAUGGGCGAAAGCCUGAUCCAGCAAUGCCGCGUGAGUGAUGAAGGCCUUAGGGUUGUAAAGCUCUUUUACCCGGGAUGAUAAUGACAGUACCGGGAGAAUAAGCUCCGGCUAACUCC